rnacentral:lncRNA from 1 species
UUUGAGCACUCAGACAAGGAAGACGGUUGACUUUUAACGUUUUUCUCUCUCACUUGGAUUUACCUAGAAACCUUUUUAGCUUUCAGGAUGUCUAAACAUUGUUCACUAAGGACUGAAGGAAGGAGAACCACUGGCCUAACACCAAUUUUCCAUUGUAACGGUAGAGCUCUGUUACCAAGAAAAAUGCACGGGGCAGAUGACUUGUACCAGACUGGCCAGAUGAGGACCUGGGAGGCCAGGAAAGCUUCUCAGGAAGGGACACAGCAGGCAGGCCAAGCUCUCAAGAAGACUCUUGCUCUCAAACCACACAUCAGCUCUGCCCCUGAGGGCCCUGACCCAGUGGGAGAGGAAAUGACCCAUGGCUGCUCCCCCCUCGGCUCCUCCACCCUUGGGUGACCCUAUCAACGGCAGCCACGAAUGAAUUACUUCAGCCCCCCAACCAUCUUCAGCUCCUGUAUCUUGAUCAAACUUGAACCCACUCUCAGCCCCCUGGAGAAGCCUCAUAUACUUCAGAUCCUCAGGAUACCCUCCAGCCUCUGGACACAGGCCCUGCAGGGUGAGCAAGCCACUGCUAUCCAGAAUGCCAGGACAACAUUGCUCUCUCCCCCCACCCAGGUGUCCUGCUGAAAUUUGCACCCACCUUAGUAAGAG